rnacentral:rRNA from 1 species
CCCUCUUCUUUAAGAACGGUUGGAAUAAUUUUCGCAAACUGGUCGAGGACGGCCUGACGGUGAUGUUGGCCCGGACGCGUGCGAAUUUCGGCAAUGACGGUAAGCAUGGUUAACUCCUUCUAAUUCCUGGAUGACCAGCCACACUGGAACUGAGACACGGUCCAGACUCCUACGGGAGGCAGCAGUGGGGAAUAUUGCACAAUGGGCGCAAGCCUGAUGCAGCCAUGCCGCGUGUAUGAAGAAGGCCUUCGGGUU